AGUACUUACGGCGCCUGCCGGGUCGUGGUGACGAAAGCAGUUGCCAUGGAGUUGCCCUGAGUAACCCUGAGGCAGUGGGACGCCAAGACUGGAGAGGAAGCGACUGCCGAUCUGGUAAAUGAGGAGCCAAGGACAGGACUACGAUCACUGAAGCGUUCAAAGUCGGGGAAAUCACUGACCCAGUCCCUGUGGCUGAAUAACAAUGUUCUCAAUGAUCUGAGAGACUUCAACCAGGUGGCUUCACAGCUGUUGGAGCACCCAGAGAACUUGGCCUGGAUUGACCUGUCCUUUAAUGACCUGACUUCCAUUGACCCUGUCCUAACAACUUUCUUCAACCUGAGUGUCCUCUAUCUUCACGGCAACAGCAUCCAGCACCUGGGGGAGGUGAAUAAGCUGGCUGUCCUUCCUCGGCUCCGGAGCCUGACACUCCAUGGGAACCCCAUAGAGGAAGAGAAAGGGUAUAGGUAAGUGCCCUGCCGCUGGAGGUAGGGCCUAGCUCCCCUAAGGGAAAGGAGGAGGAGAAACAAGAAAUCUACGACCAUU
rnacentral:sRNA from 1 species